rnacentral:rRNA from 1 species
UACAGAGGGUGCAAGCGUUGUUCGGAAUUAUUGGGCGUAAAGGGCGCGUAGGCGGUUCGGCAAGUCUCUAGUGAAAUCUCUGGGCUCAACUCAGAGUCUGCUGGGGAAACUGCCGGGCUUGAGUGUGGGAGAGGAGAGUGGAAUUCCCGGUGUAGCGGUGAAAUGCGUAGAUAUCGGGGAGGAACACCUGUGGCGAAGGCGAGUCCCUGGACAACUCCUGACACUGAGGCACGAAAGCUAGGGGAGCAAACAGG